rnacentral:rRNA from 1 species
GACGAACGCUGGCGGCGUGCUUAACACAUGCAAGUCGAACGGAGUGGCGAACGGGCGAGUAACCCGCGGGUGAUCUGCCUUGCACUUCGGGAUAAGCUCGGGAAACUGGGUCUAAUACCGGAUAGUGCAAGAUGAGAGCGCGGCCUAUCAGCUUGUUGGUGGGGUAAUGGCCUCCCAAGGCGUCGACGGGUAGCCGGACUGAGAGGGUGUACGGCCACAUUGGGACUGAGAUAAGGCACAGAGUAGUACGGGAGGAAGAAGUGGGGAAUAUUGCACAAUGGGCGGAAGCCUGAUGCAGCGACGACGGGUGGGGGAGGAAGGCCUUCGGGUUGUAAACUCCUUUCGACAGGGACGCGGUACCUGUAUAAGAAGCACCGGCUAACUACGUGCCAGCAGCCGCGGUAAUAC